rnacentral:rRNA from 1 species
GACAGAGGGUGCAAACGUUGUUCGGAAUUACUGGGCGUAAAGCGAGUGUAGGCGGUUUGGUAAGUCGGGUGUGAAAGCCCUGGGCUCAACCCAGGAAGUGCACUCGAUACUGUCAGGCUAGAGUAUCGGGGAGGUUGGUGGAAUUCUCGGUGUAGAGGUGAAAUUCGUAGAUAUCGAGAGGAACACCGGUGGCGAAGGCGGCCAACUGGACGAAUACUGACGCUGAGACUCGAAAGCGUGGGGAGCAAACAGG